rnacentral:misc_RNA from 1 species
AAGUCGUAACAAGGUUUCCGUAGGUGAACCUGCGGAAGGAUCAUUAUCGAGUUUUGACUGGGUUGUAGCUGGCCUUCCGAGGCAUGUGCACGCCCUGCUCAUCCACUCUACACCUGUGCACUUACUGUGGGUUUUACGGGUCGUGAAAUGGGCUCGUUUAUUCGGGCUUGUUGAGCGCACUUGUUGCCUGCGUUUAUCACAAACUCUAUAAAGUAUUAGAAUGUGUAUUGCGAUGUAACGCAUCUAUAUACAACUUUCAGCAACGGAUCUCUUGGCUCUC